rnacentral:rRNA from 1 species
GAUGAACGCUGGCGGCGUGCCUAAUACAUGCAAGUCGAGCGAACAGACGAGGAUCUUGCUCCUCUGACGUUAGCGGCGGACGGGUGAGUAACACGUGGAUAACCGACCUAUAAGACUGGGAUAACUUCGGGAAACCUGAUCUAAUAUCGGAUAAUAUAUUGAACCUCAUGGUUCAAUAGUGAAAGACGGUUUUGCUGUCACUUAUAGAUGGAUCCGCGCCGCAUUAGCUAGUUGGUAAGGUAACGGCCUACCAAGGCAACGAUGCGUAGCCGACCUGAGAGGGUGAUCGGCCACACUGGAACUGAGACACGGUCCAGACUCCUACGGGAGGCAGCAGUAGGGAAUCUUCCGCAAUGGGCGAAAGCUUGACGGAGCAAUGCCGCGUGAGUGAUGAAGGUCUUCGGAUCGUAAAACUCUGUUAGUAGGGAAGAACAAAUGUGUAAGUAACUAUGCACGUCUUGACGGUACCUAAUCAGAAAGCCACGGCUAACUACGUG